CCUCUAUUCUCUUUCACAGCACACUUUAUUCUUCUUCAUAACUCUUAUUCAUAUAUGAGAAUAACUUUUGGUGUACUUGCUUGAUUAACGUCUACUUCCUCAACGGGGCUGUAAGCUCCACGAGGUGCACAAAGACUUCAUCUCCCAGUCUCCUUUGCGGUUAGAUUGGUACCAGGAGAUUAGCUCUGCCGAUGGGCUGUAACCAGAUGUGGUGUGCAUUACUUCCAAGAACCCAGACCUUCAGAGACCUUGCAGCUUCUGCCUUCGCCAUCUUGAGAUCCUGAGAUACUUCAUGCUAUACAGAAGCCCAGUUUAGUCGACACGAAGGAUAGUCACUGGGCCCCAACAGACAGCCAGUGCCAACUACCAGACAUGUGAGUGAGACCAUCUUGGACCCCUGAGCUUCAGGCAGGUGGUCGAUGAUUACAGCCAGCUGAGGCUGCAAAGGAGUAGCCCAGAUUGUCAACACACAGG
rnacentral:lncRNA from 1 species